UUUAUCUAGCGAAUAUUGCUCCAAUAGUGUACUAACAUGCCAUCUCAACUUAAUGUUUCUAGGAUGAUUUCUUACCAAGAAUGUCAACCCCUUGGAACAUAUAUUUAAAUUUCUCUUCAGGUGAGUUGUGUUCCUUUUAUACGAUGACUUUGAGAAGCCUUUGAAUCUUUGAACCUAAUCCUGACAUGUGCAAGGUAUAUGAGUUUAAUUGACAAAAAUAGAAUGAUUGUUGCUAUAUGAUAAUUCAGCACAUCAACUGGUAUUUAUUUUCUAUAUAUUUUUUUGUAGCUGUUGAAGCCAGCUCAUCUAUGGCUAUAUACUGUAUAUUGUAUAAGAUUCAAAGUGUUGUGAUUGCUGUCAAUAUGUAGUUGAAAAAUAGUUUAAUGUAGUUUUAUUUCUGUUGGGAGCUCUUCAAAUGGCUUGUGUGUGUUGCUUGAUCCCUAGGAUACACUCAUGUCACAACACAUGACUGAAACUGGUGUCUUGAUUAUUUGAUGAUUACACUUUUUGGUGAAUGCUUUUGUUGUUUGUAUAGGAAUUCUUUCUAGAGCUGGAAUCAAGAUUUGGGUUCUAACAGGGGACAAGAUGGAAACAGCCAUUAAUAUGGCUUAUGGUUAGUAUUUAAAAGAGUUUUGGCAUCAUUUAAAAAAAAAAAUUUCUUACUAUAGAUAUGUUGUUUCCUUAUUUAUUUAUUUAUUAGUAACAACUUAAAUCAUACUUCUCUGUUUUUCAGAAACUGAUGAAAUUAUAGAAGUAGAAAAGCAGAGUAAGGAGCUUUCUUGUCUAGUUUGAUUUUUCAUGUAAAUACAUCAAAAUCAUUUUUCAGAGCGUUCAAUAUGUUAAAGAGAAAUUUAGGGAACACAAUUCCAGCCACAUCCCUCUCACAGAAAGCUACUGAAUUUGAGCUUGAAUUGUAGUUCAGUAGUUUGCUGCCAAGUUUCUCCUUUACAGAAAGCACAGGUGACGAGACUAGUCAAGAAAGGUGCACAGAAAAUAACACUUAGUAUUGGUGAUUGGUGCCAAUGAUGUUAGGGUUCAGAGAUGGUUUUUCCUUAUGAUUAUCAGAUUAUUUCAAGAAUUCAUAGGCAAGAACCCGACAAUAGCCGUGCGGGUUGCUGGAGAUUGGGAACCAGCUUACACCAAAUGAUGCCAAGGAGCUUUGGUGUCGCACAAGCUUCCACGAGAGAAUCCAGGCACACUAG